rnacentral:rRNA from 1 species
AUUGAACGCUAGCGGGAUGCUUUACACAUGCAAGUCGAACGAGUGGCGGACGGGUGAGUAAUAUAUCGGAAUGUGCCCAGUAGCGGGGGAUAACUACUGGCCAGAGUGGCUAAUACCGCAUACUCUUGGAGCGGCCGGUAUCGGAUUAGCUAGUGGGGGGGGUAAAGGCUCACCAAGGCAACGAUCCGUAGCUGGUGUGAGAGGACGAGCACCCACACUGGGACUGAGACACGGCCCAGACUCCUAAGGUAGGCAGAAGUGGGGAAUUUUGUACAAUGGGGGAAACCCUGAUCCAGCCAUCCCGCGUGUAUGAGAAGGCCUUCGGGUUGUAAAGUACUUUUGGCAUAGAAGCGGUAUCUGCAGAAUAAGCACCGGCUAACUACGUGCCAGCAGCCGCGGUAAUUC